rnacentral:rRNA from 1 species
UACGGAGGGUGCGAGCGUUGUCCGGAAUCACUGGGCGUAAAGGGCGCGUAGGUGGCGCGAGUAGUCAACGGUGAAAGCCCGGGGCUCAACCCCGGGUCGGCCGUCGAUACUCUCGUGCUUGAGCACUGUAGAGGCAGGUGGAAUUCCGGAUGUAGCGGUGGAAUGCGUAGAGAUCCGGAAGAACACCGGUGGCGAAGGCGGCCUGCUGGGCAGUAGCUGACACUGAGGCGCGACAGCGUGGGGAGCAAACAGG